rnacentral:lncRNA from 1 species
UUUUUUUUUGAAUAAAGAUAACUAAAUUGCAGCAGCAGUAAGGUAUGAAACCAGAACCUGUUGCAAUUCACGGGGAGAUCAAAGGGUGAUCCACGGUGGUGGAGAUGAUGGCAGAAUUCGGCGACGAUCUUUUAAGCAAUUGUGGGAAUUGCUUUGGGCGGUUGUGGAAGGCUGAUGGAUGGCAGUGGAAGGGCAGCGAGAUGCCAAGAACGCUACUCUGAUACCAGGUGUUAGAACUGUUAGGAUCGAGA